rnacentral:snRNA from 14 species
GAGAGAGGUCUGGCUGUGACAUCAGUGAAGCUAUUGAUCUCCAGGUUGAUCUGGCUGUCUGACUGUCCCGUUCCAUCCUUCCUCACUUGUAUUGUUGCUGAAGAUGCACGGUGAGUUGAGGAAAGACAGCCUUGCCCAGUAAAGGAGAACUCAUCAUUCAGAAAGGUGGGCUCCCCUGUCAGAAUCACCAAACAACUUUACGUUCAUUCUUUAAUUUUUUUUUUUUUUUGGUUCUUUUUUUCGGAGCUGGGGACCGAACCCAGGGCCUUGCGCUUCCUAGGUAAGCGCUCCCUAGGUAAGCGCUCUAACCA